UUCUAGAAAUGGAAUCUUAACAGAAAACU
rnacentral:piRNA from 1 species